CCCAGACUCCUACGGGAGGCAGCAGUGGGGAAUAUUGCACAAUGGGGGAAACCCUGAUGCAGCGACGCCGCGUGAGCGAUGAAGUAUUUCGGUAUGUAAAGCUCUAUCAGCAGGGAAGAAAAUGACGGUACCUGACUAAGAAGCCCCGGCUAACUACGUGCCAGCAGCCGCGGUAAUACGGAGGAUGCGAGCGUUAUCCGGAUUUAUUGGGUUUAAAGGGUGCGUAGGCGGAAGGUUAAGUCAGCGGUCAAAUGUCGGUGCUCAACCCCGGCCUGCCGUUGAAACUGGUCUUCUUGAGUGAGCGAGGAGUAUGCGGAAUGCGUGGUGUAGCGGUGAAAUGCAUAGAUAUCACGCAGAACUCCGAUUGCGAAGGCAGCAUACCGGCGCUCAACUGACGCUGAGGCACGAAAGCGUGGGGAUCGAACAGGAUUAGAUACCCUUGUA
rnacentral:rRNA from 1 species